rnacentral:rRNA from 1 species
CAUGCAAGUCGAGGGGAAACGACAUCGAAAGCUUGCUUUUGAUGGGCGUCGACCGGCGCACGGGUGAGUAACGCGUAUCCAACCUGCCCAUCACUUGGGGAUAACCUUGCGAAAGUAAGACUAAUACCCAAUGACGUCUCUAGAAGACAUCUGAAAGAGAUUAAAGAUUUAUCGGUGAUGGAUGGGGAUGCGUCUGAUUAGCUUGUUGGUGGGGUAACGGCCCACCAAGGCGACGAUCAGUAGGGGUUCUGAGAGGAAGGUCCCCCACAUUGGAACUGAGACACGGUCCAAACUCCUACGGGAGGCAGCAGUGAGGAAUAUUGGUCAAUGGGCGAGAGCCUGAACCAGCCAAGUAGCGUGCAGGAUGACGGCCCUAUGGGUUGUAAACUGCUUUUAUAAGGGAAUAAAGUGAGUCUCGUGAGACUUUUUGCAUGUACCUUAUGAAUAAGGACCGGCUAAUUCCGUGCCAGCAGCCGCGGUAAUACGGAAGGUCCGGGCGUUAUCCGGAUUUAUUGGGUUUAAAGGGAGCGUAGGCCGGAGAUUAAGCGUGUUGUGAAAUGUAGACGCUCAACGUCUGCACUGCAGCGCGAACUGGUUUCCUUGAGUACGCACAAAGUGGGCGGAAUUCGUGGUGUAGCGGUGAAAUGCUUAGAUAUCACGAAGAACUCCGAUUGCGAAGGCAGCUCACUGGAGCGCAACUGACGCUGAAGCUCGAAAGUGCGGGUAUCGAACAGGAUUAGAUACCCUGGUAGUCCGCACGGUAAACGAUGGAUGCC